CAGUCGAGCGAUGAAGCUCCUUCGGGAGUGGAUUAGCGGCGGACGGGUGAGUAACACGUGGGUAACCUGCCUCAUAGAGGGGAAUAGCCUUUCGAAAGGAAGAUUAAUACCGCAUAUGAUUGCUUUACCGCAUGGUACAGCUAUUAAAGGAGUAAUCCGCUAUGAGAUGGACCCGCGUCGCAUUAGCUAGUUGGUGAGGUAACGGCUCACCAAGGCGACGAUGCGUAGCCGACCUGAGAGGGUGAUCGGCCACAUUGGGACUGAGACACGGCCCAGACUCCUACGGGAGGCAGCAGUGGGGAAUAUUGCACAAUGGGGGAAACCCUGAUGCAGCAACGCCGCGUGAGUGAUGACGGCCUUCGGGUUGUAAAACUCUGUCUUUGGGGACGAUAAUGACGGUACCCAAGGAGGAAGCCACGGCUAACUACGUGCCAGCAGCCGCGGUAAUACGUAGGUGGCAAGCGUUGUCCGGAUUUACUGGGCGUAAAGGGAGCGUAGGUGGAUAUUUAAGUGGGAUGUGAAAUACUCGGGCUUAACCUGGGUGCUGCAUUCCAAACUGGAUAUCUAGAGUGCAGGAGAGGAAAGGAGAAUUCCUAGUGUAGCGGUGAAAUGCGUAGAGAUUAGGAAGAAUACCAGUGGCGAAGGCGCCUUUCUGGACUGUAACUGACACUGAGGCUCGAAAGCGUGGGGAGCAAACACGAUUAGAUACCCUGGUAGUGCACGCCGUAAACGAUGAAUACUAGGUGUAGGGGUUGUCAUGACCUCUGUGCCGCCGCUAACGCAUUAAGUAUUCCGCCUGGGGAGUACGGUCGCAAGAUUAAAACUCAAAGGAAUUGACGGGGGCCCGCACAAGCAGCGGAGCAUGUGGUUUAAUUUGAAGCAACGCGAAGAACCUUACCUAGACUUGACAUCUCCUGAAUUACUCUGUAAUGGAGGAAGCCACUUCGGUGGCAGGAAGACAGGUGGUGCAUGGUUGUCGUCAGCUCGUGUCGUGAGAUGUUGGGUUAAGUCCCGCAACGAGCGCAACCCUUAUUGUUAGUUGCUACCACUUAGUUGAGCACUCUAGCGAGACUGCCCGGGUUAACCGGGAGGAAGGUGGGGAUGACGUCAAAUCAUCAUGCCCCUUAUGUCUAGGGCUACACACGUGCUACAAUGGUCGGUACAAUGAGAUGCAACCUCGCGAGAGUGAGCAAAACUAUAAAACCGAUCUCAGUUCGGAUUGUAGGCUGAAACUCGCCUACACGAAGCGGGAGUUGCUAGUAAUCGCGAAUCAGAAUGUCGCGGUGAAUACGUUCCCGGGCCUUGUACACACCGCCCGUCACACCACGAGAGUUGGCACUACCCAAAGUUCCGA
rnacentral:rRNA from 1 species